UACAGAGGUCUCAAGCGUUGUUCGGAUUCAUUGGGCGUAAAGGGCGCGUAGGUGGCCCGGUCAGUUCGUGGUGAAAGCGCGGGGCUCAACCCUGCGUCGGCCAUGAAUACUGCCGCGGCUGGAGCACUGUAGAGGCAGGCGGAAUUCCGGGUGUAGCGGUGGAAUGCGUAGAGAUCCGGAAGAACACCGGUGGCGAAGGCGGCCUGCUGGGCAGUUUUGCUGACACUGAGGCGCGACAGCGUGGGGAGCAAACAGG
rnacentral:rRNA from 1 species